CGGCAGGCCUAACACAUGCAAGUCGAACGGUAACAGGAAGCAGCUUGCUGCUUGCUGACGAGUGGCGGACGGGUGAGUAAUGUCUGGGAAACUGCCUGAUGGAGGGGGAUAACUACUGGAAACGGUAGCUAAUACCGCAUAACGUCGCAAGACCAAAGAGGGGGACCUUCGGGCCUCUUGCCAUCAGAUGUGCCCAGAUGGGAUUAGCUUGUUGGUGGGGUAACGGCUCACCAAGGCGACGAUCCCUAGCUGGUCUGAGAGGAUGACCAGCCACACUGGAACUGAGACACGGUCCAGACUCCUACGGGAGGCAGCAGUGGGGAAUAUUGCACAAUGGGCGCAAGCCUGAUGCAGCCAUGCCGCGUGUAUGAAGAAGGCCUUCGGGUUGUAAAGUACUUUCAGCGGGGAGGAAGGUGUUGUGGUUAAUAACCACAGCAAUUGACGUUACCCGCAGAAGAAGCACCGGCUAACUCCGUGCCAGCCGCCGC
rnacentral:rRNA from 1 species